UUAUCCGUGCAAAGGCAUUCCAAAGGGGUAUUAUGUAAAACUUUAUAGAAGACAGAUUGCAUAAAAUAUAAGCAAAUAUAAGAGAGGUACAUGCUAAACGAGUUAAGGGUUUAACCUUAAUCUCUAAUUUAAGUUUUAGCCUAGGUAAUUAAUUAAUGAUGUUGUAUUGAUCCUUGUGUUUGUAUGAUUGUAGAGACCGUCCUGGAGUGUUUGUGCCGCCUGAUUUCUGGGACUACACACCAAUCUCUCUGGCUGACCAUGCAAUAAGUAUUUUGCAAUUACAUCUGUUUGGUCAUUAUCCAUGCAGGCCGAAGAAACUGAGAUACUUAUUUAUGAGGACAUAAACUUUGCACGCAAGAACCUGGAAAGUCCUGAAGGUGCAGUGCUGUCUAAUACCGCUGGUUCUGUAAUAACCCUUUCAACCAUUGGGGUGUUGCACAGAGCUUUGUGGUGAAAAUCCAGCAAACAAAAGAAGAACUAAGAACUAUAUGGAAGCUGACAUUGUCUUGUUGUCAGCCAUAUUGCUACCCUUAGCCAUUUUUAUGGAACAAAAUGUUUGGUGUCUAAACUGAUUUCUUUAUACUCUGUGAAAGACUUAUUCUAUUUUUCUGAACUAUGCUGAACUAUUGAACUAUUUUUAUUUUUGUAGAGUUAGCCAGAGAGAGAGGAAGUGUUAGCUGACCCAGGGAUGGAUGUACUAUGUGUGUUUUUGAUAUAUGUUGAGUGUGCCAGGGAUGGAUUCCCAUGUUUUGAGGAACUGCGUGAGGAUAUGACUGGUUUUGACUGGACUUUUGGAAUAGGGAAAUGGUUAAAAGAUAUAGGACGCAAGGUCCUGGUUGUGCUAUAAUAUAGUUGCUAUAAGCCCAAGUUCCAUUCUGUCUUAAACAUCCAUUUUCUAUAUAUCUGUCUGCAAAAGUAUUAAGUGUUUUUGUUUUGUUUUUUUUCUGCUGAGUUUCUGUUUCUUGUAGACCACAUGAUUGCUUGGGAAUGCCAUAAUGUGGAAAUUUCUCUGUCUUGGGAGAAUGUUAACCGAUGAUAUGAGCAAUACAUAUUGCUCAAAGAGGGGUAACAAUUGUGAUUAUUGGGGCUCAGUUGGAUGGAACACCGGGACAGAUUGGGGUUAUACCUUAAAUAUUGAAAACCCCAGUCCUGGAGAUCAAGGUAUUUAUAUUCUUGUUAAUCCUCUAAAGCCCCACAUUCAAACCCUUGGUGAUAUGAUGGCCAUAGCAGAUCCCACGUUUGGAGAUACCACAGCGUUAGAAACAGGGUAUGCAGAUACAAACCUAUGGCUGGAAUGGUUGAGAUAUAAUGCCCAUUCCAGCAAUAGGUCAAACUGUUAUGUAUGUGGUAGUGCCAGACCUCAUCUAGGAACUGUACCCUUACAUGUCCCUGAUGAGUACUGGGAAUGUUUCCUAAGUUUGUUUUCAGGUAUCACUGUUAAUACUACAGAAUGUGAAGAAUGGAAAAAGGGUCACCCUAUUGGUGAACCCAAGUUUAAUUUAAAUGAUGUUGUCCCAGUAUAUCCUGGUAAUUAUACUUGUUUUCAGGGAAAUAAUAAUGGUAAGGUGGGUACACAAUUUGAUAACUUUUCUUCAGGAUUCUGCUCCGCCUACAGUAAUAUUACCUUAGUGAAUCAAACACAAUCUAUAUAAAAAUACGUUCUAGACUCCCCACCCCCUGGAGAGGAGAAUGUGCCCCAGCCAAAAUAAUCAUGCCCCUCCAUAUAUUUGGCGACUCUCUCCCUGAAAUUAAGGUUGUAACUGAUUCCACAAGAAGGAAAAGGGAAUCCCCACAAGGUAGUUUCGACCCACAUAUCUAUCUAGAUGCCAUUGGUAUUCCAAGAGGGGUUCCUAAUGAAUUUAAAGCUAGAGACGAGGUAGCAGCAGGAUUUGAAUCAAUAUUUCCCAUUAUAACAGCUAACAAGAAUGUUAACUGGAUUAAUUAUAUAUAUUAUAAUCAGCAAAGAUUUGUAAAUUAUACACGAGAUGCAUUACAAGGUCUUGCUGAACAAUUACAGGCUACCUCACAAAUGACUUUCCAGAAUAGAAUGGCCCUUGAUAUGAUUUUAGCAGAAAAGGGAGGAGUCUGUAAAUUACUUGACUCCAGUGUUUGUUGUACCUAUAUUCCAGAGAACACUGGCCCUAAUGGUAAAGUAACCCUAGCUAUAAAGAAAUUGGAAGACCUGUCCAUAGAAAUGAAGAGGAAUUCAGGUAUUGAUCACCCAUGGGCAGAUAUGUUUAAGUUUGACAGUAUCCUAGACUGGCUAAAGAAUAUUGCAAUACUUAUUGUUAUGGUUCUGAUCCUUGCUCUACUUGUUUAUGCUAUUUUCAAGAUUAUUGUAUUCUGCAUUUACAAACAUACAAGCAACACUGUUCCUGUAAAAUCCCCAGCUUGAAAUGAUGAGUAUCUCCAAAUGUAUACACAUAACCGAAGCAAUGGUGAACAUACUGAUACAGAUCUAUAAGUUUGUGGUGCUGGUCAGAUGCCUAGUCCUAUGCUAUGGGAAUAGUGGCCGAAGACAUAAUGAAAGACCUGCAGGAUUGGCUAGCAAUCCUGAAUAUACCAUGGCAGAUGGCUGGUUGUCUGACCAGGACUCCUUAAAUAGGGUAUGAGCAAGAUAUUGCUCAAAGAGGGGGAAAUGAAGGAAUAUUGACCCCUUAAGGACACAUGACAUGUCAUGAUUCCCUUUUAUUCCAGAAAUCUGGUCCUUAAGGGGUUAAACAAUUAAUCUGUCAGUAUUUCAGAACUGCUUGCAAAACAUAAUUGAAAGGAAGUCACAAGCUAUGACAGUUUCUAUGUAUCAGGAAAUGCCUAACCACAAUGUAUAUGUGAUAUUUUGUAAGAUUAGAUUAUUGAAUGUAACAGCAGAAACUGCUUCCUCUUUUAUGUAUCUUGUGUAACCUUUUUGUAACCUUUUGUAACCAAUAUUCGUGACAAGUAUAGUAUAAAUAUAGUGAAUCUUGAAUAAACGAUCAGAAGAUUAUGGAAAGCAAAGAGUGUGCGUCUGGUUAAUACGCUUCCAUGAAAAUCUUCCCUGAAUAUUCAGCUGACAAUCGAGGGUUGGAGAAUAGUGACCAGAGGGACCGAGUCACCAGAUUAGCAGAUUUACCUUUCACC